rnacentral:tmRNA from 1 species
GGGGCUGACUGGCUUUGACAGCGUGUAGAAGCGAUAGGUAAGCAUGCAGAGUUUUGGUGUUCAAACUCUAUAAUCGCAAGAGCAUCGAACUAUAAUUGGCGAAAAUAACAAUUACGCUCUCGCUGCGUGAUCUGAAGUACAGUAGGAUCCCUUUAUUUGCCUCAAAGUGAGGUAAACGAGACAUCAUCCCAUUGCCCGGUUCCGAGACGUUUGGACAAGAUGGUGCUAAGAAAUUCGGAAAUAGACAUCAGGCAGUCCUGACUUGAUGUUGAAAAUAAAGGACUAAGGAUACGAUUGGCCGUCGUGAGCCUGUCGCAUCACGAAAACCAACUCACAGACUAAGCAUGUAGAAAGCCUGUUGAUUCCGCGUUUGGACGAGGGUUCAACCCCCUCCAGCUCCACU